rnacentral:rRNA from 1 species
GCUGGCGGCACGCCUAACACAUGCAAGUCGAACGGAGUAGCAAUACUUAGUGGCAGACGGGUGAGUAACAUGUAGGUAUCUGCCCUUUGGCCUGGAAUAACACGAGGAAACUUGUGCUAAUACCGGAUAAGUCUUUACGGAGAAAGCUUUAUGCACCAUUGGAUGAGCCUGCACUUGAUUAGUUUGUUGGUGGGGUAAUGGCCUACCAAGACUUUGAUCAAUAGCUGAUUUGAGAGGAUGAUCAGCCACAUUGGGACUGAGACACGGCCCAAACUCCUACGGGAGGCAGCAGUGGGGAAUCUUGCACAAUGGAGGAAACUCUGAUGCAGCGAUGCCGCGUGAGUGAAGAAGGCCCUUGGGUUGUAAAGCUCUUUCGUCGGGGAAGAAAAUGACUGUACCCGAAUAAGAAGGUCCGGCUAACUUCGUGCCAGCAGCCGCGGUAAUACGAAGGGACCUAGCGUAGUUCGGAAUUACUGGGCUUAAAGAGUUCGUAGGUGGUUGAAAAAGUUGGUGGUGAAAUCCCAGAGCUUAACUCUGGAACUGCCAUCAAAACUUUUCAGCUAGAGUUUGAUAGAGGAAAGCAGAAUUUCUAGUGUAGAGGUGAAAUUCGUAGAUAUUAGAAAGAAUACCAAUUGCGAAGGCAGCUUUCUGGAUCAUUACUGACACUGAGGAACGAAAGCAUGGGUAGCGAAGAGGAUUAGAUACCCUCGUAGUCCAUGCCGUAAACGAUGUGUGUUAGACGUUGGAAAUUUAUUUUCAGUGUC